rnacentral:tRNA from 1 species
UGGGUUGUGGCUCAGUGGUAGAGCGCUUGCCUAGCAUGUGUGAGGCCUUGGGUUCGAUCCCUAGCACCACAA